AAGGCACCGGCACCUCGGGGAGAGGCACCGGCACCUCGGGAAAAGCAUCGGCACCUCGGGAAAGGCACCGGCACCUCGGGGAGAGGCACCGGCACCUCGGGAAAAGCAUCGGCACCUCGGGAAAGGCACCGGCACCUCGGGGAGAGGCACCGGCACCUCGGGAAAAGCAUCGGCACCUCGGGAAAGGCCACCGGCACCUCGGGAACCGCACCGGCACCUCGGGAAAAGCAUCGGCACCUCGGGAAAGGCACCGGCACCUCGGGGAGAGGCACCGGCACCUCGGGAAAAGCAUCGGCACCUCGGGAAGGCACCGGCAUCUCGGGAAAGGCAUCAGCAUCUCGGGAACGGCACCGGCACCUCGGGAAAGGCAUCGGCAUCUCGGGAAAGGCAUCAGCAUCUCGGGAACGGCACCGGCACCUCGGGAAAGGCAUCGGCAUCUCGGGAAAGGCAUCAGCAUCUCGGGAACGGCACCGGCACCUCGGGAAAGGCAUCGGCAUCUCGGGAAAGGCAUCAGCAUCUCGGGAACGGCACCGGCACCUCGGGAAAGGCAUCGGCAUCUCGGGAAAGGCAUCAGCAUCUCGGGAACGGCACCGGCACCUCGGGAAAGGCAUCGGCAUCUCGGGAAAGGCAUCAGCAUCUCGGGAACGGCACCGGCACCUCGGGAAAGGCCUCCGCAUCUCGGGAGCGGCGCGGGCGGAGCGACACGGGCCCGGCCGGACCGGACUGCACUGGAUCUGCUGGAUCCCGGAGAUCGUGUGUGAUGCUGCCCAUGUCACUGGAGAGGAGCUCUUCACAAGUGGCCUUGAUCCAUGUGUUCAUUCUCUGAUGUCCAGCUUGCUCCUUCGUGAUCUUACUCAGCAAAGUGCUCGAGGCUUGCAGCAGUGACUGAAGGCAGAAGGGGCUGACUUCUGAAUAUUCCAGGUGCAAAGAACUGUGCUUGAAGGGUCUCCAGUGGGCAUCAUAAAUUACCAAGAGUCUGUCACUAUCGUCCUUAAUGACUCUGGGCUGAAACUUGACUGUGAGGCUGUUAGAUCUGCCUUUCCCCAAAAAACUG
rnacentral:lncRNA from 12 species